CACGCCCUAAACGAUGUCAACUAGGUGUUGGGUGGGUAAAACCAUUUAGUACCGUAGCUAACGCGAGAAGUUGACCGCCUGGGGAGUACGGCCGCAAGGUUAAAACUCAAAGGAAUUGACGGGGACCCGCACAAGCGGUGGAUGAUGUGGAUUAAUUCGAUGCAACGCGAAAAACCUUACCUACCCUUGACAUGUCCAGGAGUCCGAAGAGAUUUGGAUGUGCUCGAAAGAGAACUGGAACACAGGUGC
rnacentral:rRNA from 1 species